UACGAAGGGGGCUAGCGUUGUUCGGAAUUACUGGGCGUAAAGCGUACGUAGGCGGACCCGUAAGUCAGAGGUGAAAGCCUGGAGCUUAACUCCAGAACUGCCUUUGAUACUGCGGGUCUGAGGAUGGGAGAGGUGAGUGGAACUGCGAGUGUAGAGGUGAAAUUCGUAGAUAUUCGCAAGAACACCAGUGGCGAAGGCGGCUCACUGGCCCAUUACUGACGCUGAGGUGCGAAAGCGUGGGGAGCAAACAGG
rnacentral:rRNA from 1 species